AAAAACCUAAUCCCUUUCAUUUGAGGAAUGGAGAAAAACGGCAGAACAUUGAGACGGAUUCCCCAACCCCCACUGAAAAACCCUAGCGGCUCACAGACCCCUCUCCCUCUAAGACAACCAGCCGCCACCCGUUUCUUUCUACUUCUUCUUUCUACUCUUUCUCAUCGUACUUCAUCCAUUCAUAUACAUACGUUUACUUUGCUUGUCGAAAAAUGAUAUUCGAUCUAUGAAGUUCUAAAAUCAGAACAAAAGUCCAACGAAUUGAUCGUUAAUGGACGUGCCAACAUGUCCUUGAGCAGCUUGCUCGAUUUCUUUCUUCCUGAGGUUUCUCAAAGUCGUUUUGAGCUGUGGAAUCACUGUACUGUCGUUGCUGCUAAAUGAGCUAUUUACUUGCUGAGUUUGGUUGGGCUGUGUUGCUGAGUUUCAACUUUAUCCUAUUUUGUAUUUAUUUGGCUUUCUAAAAUGGUUCUUGCGCAACCAGGGUGAUUUGCUUCUGUUUUAUUUGGGGACUUAAGUGUUGAAAAAAGCAGGAUUCUGUUGCUCUGGUUUCUGCUCCAUCAAAUUUCGUUGAUUGGUUAUGUUUUAAUAUAGUCAUGAAUCUGAUUAAUGUUAGAUAGGUAUGGAGUGUAAAUAGGCACAAAAAAAUUAAUAUCGAUAUAGAUAGCCUUCCCAUUUAACACUUGACUUUGUAUUGAAAGACUAAUGAAUUGCCUGAUGAUUCAUUUGGAAAUUAAAGUUGUAAUAACGGAAAGCCGUAGAUAUAUCAGAUUUGCGAAGCAGUUUGGUUGUAAUCAAUAGAGUGGUUGUAUGCGUAACAAGGUUCGAUAGAGUUGAUUGAUUGAUAGAAUGGCUAUUUGUGUAAUGGGCCUAGCUGUUUUAGAACAAGUCAAUGUUGUGAACCCAUAUAAUGGAGAUACUUUAUUUGCAAUUUCCUAAUCACAAUCCCAUGCUUCUAUUUACAUUAGAUAGUCAUGUGAUACUGGAUGAUUUGUAUCUUGUGAAUAUAAUUAGGAUUGGCCCUUUGUAAUUUCGUUUGA